rnacentral:rRNA from 1 species
UACGGGGGGAGCAAGCGUUGUUCGGAUUUAUUGGGCGUAAAGGGCGCGUAGGCGGUUUGUUAAGUCGGCUGUGAAAGCCCGGGGCUCAACCCCGGAGGGUCAGCCGAUACUGGCAGGCUAGAGUACAGAAGAGGUAACUGGAAUUCCUGGUGUAGCGGUGAAAUGCGCAGAUAUCAGGAGGAACACCGGUGGCGAAGGCGGAUCUCUGGGCCAUUACUGACGCUGAGGAGCGAAAGCGUGGGGAGCGAACAGG